rnacentral:tRNA from 1 species
CCUUUAGCUCAGCUGGUAGAGCACCUGACUCUUAAUCAGGGUGUCCAGGGUUCGAGUCCCU